UCAGUUGGAGUCUGGCACUACCACGCCACUUUCCUCAGAAGCGGCUUGGUGUCCGUGCGGAUUUCCUCCACAUUAAUAAAAAAAAAAAGGAUGUAUAAGUGUGGGAGUCUCGGCAGGAUUGCAAGGGAUUCCAAUGAAUGAAUAGUGCGAGGAAUUGCAAGCAUUCAUUGCGAUAAAGUGUAAAGAGUGUGAAGUGAGAUGAGGAGAUAGGAGAAGGGGCGUGAGUGCAAUAGUGUUUGGCGGACGUUGGGGUGUGUGUUGCAAUAGACCCGACGUGGAUCAGACUCGAGGGUCGAAGGUGCAAUGGGUUUGAAUAUAGCUGGGUGGUAAUAUCCUCGCUGAACAAGAGUGGGUGAGAGACUGGAGAAAAUAAUGUGAAAUGGGAAAUAAAUUACAGGUGUAACGGUUAAUAACAGUUAUUAAUUGUGAUAUGAUGAGUCAGAAUCGGUAUGCUUGCUUGUGUUUAUUUUGAACGUUAUCCGGUGGGAGCGACCUUUAGUUAAAGUUAAACGUUUUGAGGUGUAGGUCGUGAUAGUGAUAGGAGGAAACACUUAAGUAUAUUUAACAAUAUAUAUGUCGGAGAUGAAAGUACACCAGAGCCAUCCUUUUGGAACUUUGGGAAAAUCUCGUAAUGUUGUAAUUUAGAUUCUACCAUAGCCGUAAUUAAGCAAUUGUCGUCAUUCAAUCCGAUUGUAUUUGUUCAACACUUGCGAUAGUGAGCUUGGGCUCGAGGCGACAAUCAGUCGCCGAAUGUAACUGCGGUCAAGGAGUAAACAUUUGCGUAACAAAGCUCCGCUAUCAGCCAAUUCCCUAUGGCCAUGGUCUAGAAGACAAUAUGGCGUCGAGUGAUAGGAUGUUCUACGUGCCGUAUCUUAUAAUUUCAAAAAGCCCGUAAAUCCCUUUUUUAGAUGGCCGGGUCUCAGGAUACACGGAGAGGAGGCUUCCAAGAUCUGCAUAGUGUUUAUGACAUUAGUGUCGUUCUUCAAAUGAAUAUUUUUAUGUAGUGUUAUGUGUUUGAGCGCGUUGUGCAACUCCGCUUCAUUUUUCGUUUUUUUAUCAUUAUUCAUAAUUUAUCACGUUUACAUCGUAUUGUGAUAGCAUUUUCCGUCGAGUCAUCUAUCUUCACAAGGAAGUCCAACAUAUCUCAGAAAUUUUGGUGCAACGAAUUUUCCGUAAAUAAUUUCGUGAACUGUUUCUAAAAUUAUUUCGUAUUUUAGUUGUUCGCUAAUGAUUCUUCGAUCAUUACCUCAGUCAAUGCCUACCACACCGACCCCCUUUGUUAUCUUGAGAGGAAAAAGGAUGAAAUGUCACGGAUUAAAAUAUGAAUUUAUUUAAUUUAGUUUUAAAUUAAAUAAUUCUUUAAUUAUUAUUAAAUUAUUUUAAUUUAAGUAAAUCUUUACAUAUUUUUAAAUUAUUAACGUUGGUAAACAGUCAAUUUCACUACUGUUUGAAUUUAAUUUUUUAUUUUUUAAAACUCUAUUCAUUUAUUCGUUAUUUUUAAUUCAUUUAUUAAUUUUAUUUCAUCUCUGGAUUAUAGAUUGUAUUAAUUCUUGUUAUAUAUUUAAUUUAGUUCUUUCAAUUAUAUAAAAUGUUGUUCCAUCUUCUAAGUCGUUAGCUCAUUGAUUUUUACCAACACUAAUUAUUUAUUUUUCUUCAUUCAUUUUGAACCUUCAUUAACUUCUUAUUAAAUUAAUUUAUUUCUUUAGUUAUUUUCUUAAAAACGUUGUUACAAUUUAUUUUAUUUCUUGUAUUUUCAAGUCAUUUUUGGUUUGUGUUAUUCUUUGGUAUCCUCUAGCUGUCAAAAAAUAGAAGAAAGGAAUUCCCUGCUUCCUGAAUAGCUAUUAGGAUAAGACAACCUUAAGGUGCUUAGUGGUGGCUCAACUACAAAUUACAUGCUCGUGGAUGGUCCAGCUGCUUCAACUUUACAUAUUAUUAGUAUAAGAAGAAUUUAUGGGCAAAAUACAGUGCUAAUAUACAUUUUGAGGAUUGAAAUUUGGAACGUUCUUACCCAUCUGUUAAAGCUUAAUGUCAAAGUAAGCUAGCCAGCAUUUUAUUUACUAAAAAAUUGAACAAAAAGUUAAUCGACGAGUCUCCUCUCUGGCCGAGAGUAGCCUUCUCUAGGCUCUUGCCAUACUUUAACGAGUCUGAGUCGUGAUGAAAGUCCUGAGCCAAACCUGAAUAUCACGAUUCAGGCUCGUGGCCUAAUUUCAUGUUAAACAUGAAUAUCACGAGUCUCACUCGUGGUCUUAAUCUCGGGCCAAGUAUGUGUCUGGAAUAGUGUCUUUUUCCUAAAUACUGGCGCGGCUAUCUCAUACUCAGUCGCACGAUAUCAGUCGCAUGUUUCAAGUUCCGACGCUGUCUCUGCCGCUUCGGCUCCUUUCCUGACCAUUCGAACGCAUCGCUUGGAUCCGGAUUCUUCCGAGUUAAAUGGUAUGACAAGGGACAAGCACACGGCGUUUCAUCGCCUUCUGAAAUUCUCGAGAUCAUUUUGUUCUUCAGUUUGUGGAAAUUGGAAUGCUUAACAAGUACCAUUCAUGCAAACACUCUUGUUUAUUAACUUUUGCUUGAAAUUUAUUGAUAUACGAAUCGAUAUACGAUAUCGGCAUACGAAAUACGCUGUUCCUGUGGAAAAGUAUACAACGAUAAGACUGGUAAAAAUAGUCUCGUUACUGGAUUACUGAUGCGCAACACGAGCUGUUUGUAGGAUUAUGAGGGAGACAUGACCGCACAUCAAUGUCAGUACGUUUUUAGACCCCUGAUGGAGUCUGUAAUGUUGUCGAAAAGUCAGGAAGCUGUACCUCCAGGAAAAGUAUUCAAUUUGAAAGCUUGAAACAACGCUAAUGAAUCGGAUUCUGAAAGCCUCAAUAUGACCUAGUUCAAAGUACGUAUGGAGUUUCCAAAAGAAUAUACGAAACGUAUUGGUAAAAAAUAAUUUUCAAGAAUUUUUUGCAUUAAUCGUCAGUCAUUGUCUCAAAUCCUUUGAUGUUUGGAUUGCCUUGUAAAUAAAAAGAGAAAGUAAGCUAACACCAUUGCUGUAUAUAAUUAACUAGGGCCGAGAGCGUAACAAUAGGAAGGAAGGAGAUCUGACGAAUGAAAGUUUUAAAAGAUUGUUUUCUUACUGUGGAUAUACAUACAUAAUGCAAUAAAUAACGAAAGUACUCAAACGGUAAUCUGUUCUCUUGCGAAUGCAUGACUCUUUCUUAACAUAGAUAUUGUUUCUCAGUAAAAUUCUUUGGUAUAAUCGGGAGAGUACUUCUUUUCUAAAGUCUGUAGUAAUCAGUGAUACCAAUGUGUAGAUAUAAAAAGAUUCUUUAUUAUCUCAUGAAGGAUUAUUUUUUCUACUCUUGGUAUUAAUUUUCUUUAGCGCUCACAUUCUGAUUUAUUUGAAAUAUUUAUUUGAAAAAUUUCAAAUAAGAAUAUUAUUUAUUGACAGUUCUCAAUUUUCUGUUGUAAAUUAUUGAAAAUGUGUGAUUUAUUAAUCGAAUUCUUUUAUUUAUAAGUUAAUACAUGUUAUUAUAGUAACGUGCUACUGUGGUUAAAGGAUUACAAUAUAAACGGUUUUAAUAUAAAGGAUCCAAUAUAUUAAGGGCUCAGAAACCAAUCAGUGUAAAUCACAAAAUAUCUUAACGAAGAUCAUUAAUUGUUUAGAGAAUGGACUGUAAAGAAAUGUUGAAAGUAACUGCUAUUAACACGUGAAGAGUAAUUUAUAUUUACAUUUAUUACAUUUAACAUAUGCAGAAGCUGGUUACACAAAAGAUUGCUAUUAGUAUUUUAGGAUUAAAAAGAAUAUGGUUUUAUUUGUUAAAUAUUGACUUAUGUCACGUGUUUACCGAAAAUUUGGCAAAUCAAUUUAUGUACUCAUCUAAAUCAUCAUUUUUCGUACUACUUGUAUGAUUUUGAUGUUUGGUGAUUUGAUUGAUUUGAUUUGAAGGUGAUUCUGUUUGAUGUUGUCAGAUUUCUAUAAUCUGGUAAUAUGAACGUAUGAAUUUCAUAAAAUCCAACGUGUGUUUUCUUUUAACUUUUUUUUACGAUUACGUUCUGUAUACAGAAUGCUCUGUACAAUGUUCGACAAAUUCGGAGGCCUUUCUUUUGACUCUUUUGUAAUAUUUAUUUCAUAAAAUGGAAAGUCAUGUUCUAAAGCUCUUUUUACAAAAACUAGGUCUUGAUGUAUUUUGGUUUUUCUACCAAAACAGUAAUUUUCCAGAUUUUUAGUUGAGAAAAACUCUUCCUCCUCUCUUCGUUUUAGCAACAAUAGCGAAUGGUUUCGAGGCUGGUAUUUUUAAUUGCUGUCUCUAUAGUGCAAUAAAUCGGGCAUGAAUUGGAUGCGCCACUUGAAAAUGCAUGGAACUUCAAGAGCUAGAGAUCGUAAUGACACCAUGACGCGUUCGACGGUAGAAAUUAAGCUUUUAUUCGUUUCGUAUCUUGUAAUUAUUGGUCCAACUUAAUUUAUUAUAAAUUGAAGUACUGCACUCAUGCGUAUAAAAUUCUGAAAUUGCUGGGUAUCUUCAAUUUGAAGCUUUUCGGAAUUUGAGCUUGUCGUUUGAAUUUUGUAAGUGAUACACAUUAUCCUAAUUCUUCCUUGCGAUUAAUUCAAAUUCUGAUACAGUAACUUCCCUUGUGCGUUAGUUUUGCUUUUCUUUAUAACAGUUUGAUCAGUAAUAAGGGCACUUGUUUUUUGAUCAUUCAUGAUUACACAGUACUUCAUCUGCAUUUCAAUGUAAACUGCAAAGAAUCUCAUAUGACUCGCAUAAACUAUUCUCAAAUGGACAUGAUUCUGCGAAUUUUUAUUGUCCACCUGAGAGUAAAACUUAUCGAACUUACUUUUAAAUGGACAUACAAUUUGAGAGUAAUCUCAAGAAACUGUCGGAGGAAAUUUUGAAAUGGACAUUUAGUACAACCAGAGAGAAAAUUUCCUCUCUGGCACAACCUUGUGCUGAUUGUUUCCUUGUAUUGUAGACGCGGUACAGAAUAGACAUGACAUGCAAUACUCUUUUGUGUCCCACGUUUUGAGUGUUACCCACUUACCACUUCUGCGUCACACGUAACGUUAUCGUUUCAAAAUUUGCUAUUUCGCCCGAUCUUACCGAAAUUUUGCAAAUAGCUUUAUUUUACAUUGAAACAAUGUUCGCCAGAAGGAUUUUUGACGAUUCGAAAGUCAAGAUCCAAAAUUUUGUGAAAAAUGAUUUACCAUUUUAGCGCUGCUCUCUGUAAUUUUGAAAACUUCCAUGCUUUGAUCUGCUUGAAAUUCUGAAAAUAGGCACCUUUUAGAACCAAGACAGCAGAAACAAUAUUUACAAGAAGGAUUUUUGCUGGCUUAAAAGUUACGACUCAAAAUAUUACGAAAAACGUUUUACUAUUGUAAUGUCACUUCCUAUGUUACCGACACAGCGUACAAUAAGAUUACAAUACUGGUUAAAAUAACAGAAAACAGAGCUUUCGAAAAUACUUUGUAAGAUACUAAGAUAAGAUACUGUUUAAGUUACUGACAUUCGAAAUGUUUAGGCUAUAUUUCCUAUUUGUGUUUCCUAUUUUCUAUCUUUUAUGUGCAUUCACUUAGAACUGUACCUUCAAAUGAUAUGUAGUACGCGUUGUUUAUAUUUAUCAUACACUUCUUGAAUUUGUUAUUUAAGUCUGUUGGUUAAAUCCAUUAGUUGAGUCCAUACUUUUAUAUCAUAUUUUACUUCAUGGAUAAAACUAUGAAAUAUAAAAAUAUUAUAAGCUAGUCAACAUAAAAUUGAAUGCGCUUAAAGGAUUUGUCAUGUGAUUUAGAGACUAUUCAAUAUUAUUUAUUUAACAAAUAUAUAUAUAGGUCACUCAAGAAUUAAAAUGGAUCAUAUAAACUUAUUUUCCCUUGCUAAGAAAUUAAGUGAUCGCGGGACGACAAUUGAAUGACUCAGGAAAUUCAAUAAAUUCCAAGAGAAAAAUGGUGUGUGAAACGCAAGAAACAGGUGAUUUGUGUCGAAGAAAAAGAAGGUUUAGGCCCUUUUUGAUGUCGCAAAUGUGAGAAAUAUGAUCAUAUCGCAGUAGUAUGCGAUACAUUGUUGUUGUUAUUAUCCAGUUUAUAUUAUAUCACAUCGUGUAUUUUAUGUGAAAAUAGGUUGCUAACUGGUUAAUAAUAACAUACGCUUUUGCAUGUCGGUUUCCUUUGAACAAAUGAAACGUAAUCGAUAGCUAAACAAUUUCUUCUGAAACAAUUAUGGACAGGUUUCAUUCUGUAGAGAAAUUUGUACUAUACAACAGCAAUCUUUGUUCUAGUUUCUUUUGGUUUCUUCAUUUUUUAUUUCAUGUGUGUGUAUGUGAAUAUCGUAAUAUACAAUAAUUUGUGUAGAAAAUGUACGUAGUUAAUGCUGGAUAGCGUUUGACCAUGUUUAAUAACAACUCAAGAAUAAUUAAUGCGUGUGCGAUUUUUUUUUUUUUUUGAUAUCCGCGCACGGGACGAUCACGGUGCGUAUAUAAGAUUUGUAUAAACAUUGUUUAUAUGUGCUAUUAUUUACUAAUUGUUUAUGAAGGCAAAAGAUCAGAUGAAACAUUAAUCCUCUCUACUCAAAAAUUCCAUGAGGGUUUAAUCUGCGAUUUUUCUCUUCAUCUGCAGGAUGGUUUACGUCUUCAAAUCUUCAAAUGACAUAAUCUUCUUAUCUAUGACUUGUACGAGAUAAGCUGCUGUCCGUGUGUGUCACGUAGAAUUCAGGGUUGAAUGAUAAAAGAAAAGAAUACUGAGUCGUAACCCAACUAUUAAUCUUCUUUAUUAUAAAUUCACCACUUACAAGCAAUAGACUGACACUGAACCGGAGAAAAGGGCUGCGCAAGAAUUGCCCGAGCUGUCUGAAGUCUCGGCUUAUAUACAUUUUGGUUUGAGAAUGUUGAAGGGCUCGGUGUAGGUUGUGAUGUGCAGAAGUGUCCGAAGGUCGGGGGUCGAUGUCCUAUCUUUGAUGUGGACUAAGGUGCGUCUCAGCCUUGAUGUAGGGUAUGAUGAUAAGGUGGUGAUGUAUCCAAGGGAGUCCGAAGCUCGGUGGUCGAUGUGCUAUCUUUGAUGUGGACUAAGGUGCGUCUCAGCCUUGGUGUAGGCUAUGAUGAUAAGGUGGUGAUGUGUCCAAAGGAGUCCCAAGCUCGGAGUCGAUGUCUGAUCUCUGAUGUAGGUUGAGAUGUGAUUGAUGUUACAUGUGACGUUCGAUUUGAGGGUCCCUGUGCAUCCUGCUGCUUAGGCUGCUUAGGUGUAAGAAGGGUCCAUCGCGCACAGGGAUAUUUCGGCUAAUAUUUAAUUCUCAAUAACUAAAAAACGAAGCCAAAAGCGCAAUUUCUUUAUUCUUGAUUUUCAUUGUAUUUCAGCUUGAUGGAUCACCUCUUAAAUUUUUUUACACCUGUAGCCGAAUGUGUAGCUCUCGAUGGGGAAAUACCUUCGGUCGUCUUGGAAUAAUCGUAGAAACUGAUGGAUGUAAAAUUGAACGAAUUUGCGGGAAGAAUCAUGAAUUCUUGAUGUGAUAUGUAUGAUAUAUAUGAUUGACAUAUACCUACAUAUACUGAAAAAUAUCAGCAAUAUUAGAUAUCGAAUUUCAUAGAGGUUAGUUUAGAUCUCAUUAAACCGGCCGCCGUAGCGUACAGUUAACCUCUUAACCUACAACUACGGCUAUGCCCGUAGUACGAUGAUCGGACCAAUCGUAAAUAUUACGGGCAUCGCUCGUGGUACGUACUACACAAGUCGUGCGAAUGGCUUGUUUACGUUUUCGCCCCAAAAUUCUCGAACGUAAAUCGUAGGUUAAGAGGUUAAUAUCCAGUCUGCUAGAGUAUUAUCAUCUAAAGUCACUACUUAAGUCUGAACCUUGAUGACACAUUUAUGGUUUCGACUAUCGACUCAUACAACACUCUUGAAAAUGCGUCAGCCUUGAUACGUGCAUUUUCUCUAUAGAAAAGUCGACAGUAACAUACGUAUGCAGUCAUAUCAGUUCUUUAUUGAUUUACAUGUACAAGGCACGAAUUCUUUAUCACAAAGGACAUAACCUAACACACACGAAGAUGGUACCCCACUGGGGAUAGCCACUCACAUGAUAAUCAAACAGCUGAAAAAUUCUACCAAAUGUCCAAAUUGGACAAAUUGUGAAUGUAA